rnacentral:rRNA from 2 species
CAGGGAUUGCCUCAGUAACGGCGAGUGAAGCGGCAACAGCUCAAAUUUGAAAUCUGGCCCCCCGGCCCGAGUUGUAAUUUGCAGAGGAUGCUUCGGGCGCGGUGCCUUCCAAGUCCCCUGGAACGGGGCGCCGGAGAGGGUGAGAGCCCCGUACGGUUGGCGGCCAAGCCUGUGUGAAGCUCCUUCGACGAGUCGAGUAGUUUGGGAAUGCUGCUCUAAGCGGGAGGUAGACCCCUUCUAAAGCUAAAUAUAGGCCAGAGACCGAUAGCGCACAAGUAGAGUGAUCGAAAGAUGAAAAGCACUUUGAAAAGAGGGUUAAACAGCACGUGAAAUUGUUGAAAGGGAAGCGCUUGCGACCAGACGUGCGCCGGGGUGCUCAGCGGGCGUUCUCGCCCGUGCACUCGCCCCGGCGCAGGCCAGCGUCGGUUCGCGUGGGAGGAUAAAGGCGCCUGGAAUGUGGCUCCCCCGGGAGUGUUAUAGCCAGGCGUGCCAUGCUCCCCCGCGGACCGAGGUACGCGUUCUGCAAGGACGCUGGCGUAAUGGUCCCCAGCGACCCGUCUUGAAACACGGACCAAGGAGUCGAGGUUUUGCGCGAGUGUUUGGGUGUUAAACCCGCACGCGUAAUGAAAGUGAACGUAGGUGGGAGCUUCGGCGCACCACCGACCGAUCCUGAUGUUUUCGGAUGGAUUUGAGUAAGAGCGUAGGGCCUCGGACCCGAAAGAUGGUGAACUAUGCUUGGAUAGGGUGAAGCCAGAGGAAACUCUGGUGGAGGCUCGCAGCGGUUCUGACGUGCAAAUCGAUCGUCAAAUCUGAGCAUGGGG